AACGAACGCUGGCGGCAUGCCUAACACAUGCAAGUCGAACGAGAGCUUCGGCUCUAGUGGCGCACGGGUGCGUAACGCGUGGGAAUCUGCCCUUGGGUUCGGAAUAACAGUUGGAAACGACUGCUAAUACCGGAUGAUGACGUAAGUCCAAAGAUUUAUCGCCCUGGGAUGAGCCCGCGUCGGAUUAGCUAGUUGGUGGGGUAAAGGCCUACCAAGGCGACGAUCCGUAGCUGGUCUGAGAGGAUGAUCAGCCACACUGGGACUGAGACACGGCCCAGACUCCUACGGGAGGCAGCAGUGGGGAAUAUUGGACAAUGGGCGCAAGCCUGAUCCAGCAAUGCCGCGUGAGUGAUGAAGGCCUUAGGGUUGUAAAGCUCUUUUACCUGGGGAGAUAAUGACUGUACCGGGAGAAUAAGCCCCGGCUAACUCCGUGCCAGCCGCCGCGGUAA
rnacentral:rRNA from 1 species